GAGUUUAAGUUAGAUUUUAAACCCGGGACCUUCAAAGCCCCAAACAGAGGGCACCUCUAACUCCUG
rnacentral:tRNA from 1 species